GAUGCAUAGAUAGAGAAAUAGAGGGAUAGACAGGUGAGAGUUAGAGCUAAGGAUAUAUGAUCCAAUAGAGAAAGAGGCACAAAACCUUUUCUGUGUUUGUCUCAGGCAUCUGCGUUAGAGGCCAAAGAGGCUGCCCUGAGCUUGAUGGCCAUACGAUUUUGAUGUGUCUGCGAGAAGUUGAGGAAAGAGGAGUAGAGUACCUACUAUUUUUUUUUUUUUUGCUGUGUAUUCUUUUUUUUUAUUCUUAUUUUAUUUUUUCCAUUAUUUUUAUUAUUUUCUCUUUUUAUGGCAGUAUCUGAGGCAUAUGGAAGUUCCUGGGCCAGAGGUUGAAUCAGAGCUGCAGCUGGGACCUGCGUCACAGCCACAGCAACUUGGGAUAAGAGCUGCCUCUGCGACCUACACUGUGGCUUGUGGCAAUGCUGGCUUCUUAACCCAGCGAGCAAGGCCAGGGAUCGAACCAAAAUCUUCAUGGACAUUAUGUUGGGUUCUUAACCUGCUGAGCUGCAAUGGGAACUCCCUUUUCUAUUAUUUUUAAAUAUAUAAUUCAUAUACUGUAAAUAUCUCCCUUUUAAAGUAUACAUAUCACUACUAGUUCCGGGCUGUUUUCAUCGCUCCACAAAGAAACUCCAUAACCAUUAGCAGUCAUUCCCACUCCAUCCUACCCCGGAAAUCACUAAUGUCUUUUUUGUUUGUUUGUUUGUUUGUUUCUCUCUCUCUAUGCCUUUGACUAUUUGGGACAUUGCGUAUAAAUGCAUUCACACAAUGCAUUUGACUUUUUGGUCUGGCUUCUUUAACUUAGCAUAAUAUUUUCAAGGUUCGUCCACAUUGUAGCAUGUUUCACUGCUACAUUCCUUUUCUUUCUUUUUUUUUUUUUAACUAUCACCUUUGAUGGUCUGAGUAUCUCAUAGAUACAAAAUAAGCAUCUAUGCUCUUGAGAAUUAUAUCUGCAAGGAACACACCAGAUGAGAUCGGGUGCUUUCAGGUCGGUGUGGCGGUGGACAGGAACACACCAGAGAGCUCAAGUAUUUAGGCAAAAUGACUGGAAGGAGGCGAGAGAUACACAUUGACUUUCUGGUGCUGAUGAGGUCGUUGUCCCUCAAAGCCUUCACUGUGAAGUGGGAGUAAUAUUGCUUGUUCUCCCCCUCUUUUAAAAAUUCUUUUUUAAUUGAGGUGUCAUUGGUGUGUGACAUUAUGUUAAUUUCCGCUGUACCACCUAAUUAUUAAGUAUGUGUAUGCAUUGUGAAAUGAUCGUCCAUUCCUUUUUGUGGCUGAAAACGUUCCAUGUUAUGGAUGUGCCCAUUUUGUGUAUGUAUUCAUGAUGGAUGUGUGAGCUAUCUCCACUUUUUGGCUAUGAUGAAUGAUGCUGCUGUGAACAUUUGUGUACCUGGUUUUAUGGGCUAAACGUUUCAUUUUUCUAGAGUCAGUCCAGGAGUGGCUUUCCUGGGUCAUAUGGGAACUCUCUGUUUAAACUUGGGGGAACUGUAAAAGCAUCUUCAAAAAUGGCCAUAUCAUUGUCCAAGAGUGUCCUUUACUCUUUGAGCCUCUACUGUUGGCCGAGCACUGUGCUCUUCUCUUGGUGUAUGUCUUUCCUGUGAGCUUAUAGUCAUUCUUUCUUCUUUACAGGAUCAGAAACAGAGGCUCUGAGUGUUUAAAACAGAGAGAGCGAGAGCACUCCGGUUAUUGUUAAAUGACCAAGUCUAGGGCCUCCCCUAAGACUGAACCCUAAAGUCCUGCCCCAGGGCUUGGUGAGGGGUUACUCGAAACCAGCCUGCAUCAGACAAUGCAACAAGCCAGGCAUGGUGUCCAGUGCAGUGGUGGGGGCACUGCAGAGUAACCAGCCUUUCUGCUGUGUCUGCAGCUGGAACCAGGGCAGAAGUCAAGGGAGCCCAAGAGCCUCUCAGACCGGGCUGGAUCCCUGGAGGACACCAUGGACCAGGACAAGAAGGAGGACAGACUGGGCUGGGCUGGGUCCCUGGAGCCCCUCUGGUUGGGAGCAGCUGGACAUUCUCAAGGCCACCUGUCUGCAAGAUCUGUUGCCUCUGGCCACUCCCACCUGUACCUGCCUCAGUUCAGGAAGCCAUAAUUUCAUUUCUCAGCUAUUUAUUGUUCUCUCAAUUUGUGAUUUUUACCUCAAUCAUCGUUAUUUGUGAAAUACGGAGGGUUACAAGUAAAGACAUCCCAAGUUAAACAGCUCCUCCAGGCCAAAUUAAAUGAGCGCCGUGUAACCUGGGCUCCUCCUCUGGAGAAAGGACAGGCUAGUGCUGCCACCCACACCUGCACACCUGGGCAGGUGUUUGCCUCACACCUCCCAAAUGUUCUGGCCCUGGCCUGGGAUGAGCAACUACUUGCUGGGGAGAGUGGCCUAGAAGCCAGAGAGAAGAGUGUUGGAGACACUCUUUCCAUGUCCAUUUUGCUGCAGCUUUUUGGAAGUGGAAACUGGCAUUUCAGUGUUGGGGCCUCUUGGAAUGGACCUGUUCUGUAGGUCAUUCAUCCGUCCAAGGCGUCCAGAUCUUCUCAAGCCAAGAGCAAUGAAUUCAUAGAUUAUUUCCCUGAACACUGGCCAUCAAGGUUAUUUUCUAAGAGGUGGAGAAUGACCGGGGCGUGGAAGUGCGUGUGGUUUUUUUGGGGUCUGUUGCAUCCACUUUCAUCACUCCUUAGUGAAAUCUGCAAACCUUCACCUGCCUAAACCUGCAGUCUUCAGGCUGCGCUGGGCAGGUCUACCCACUGUUGAGAGACAGGAGUCUGUUUCCCUAUGGAGUAUUUUCCUCUCGGGUGCCUCUUUGUUUUCUUCUAGCAAGGGAAGAAACCAAAGUUACAUGGAACAGGAAGUAAGUAGCAUGGGAGGUGAAUUGGGAAAGAGUGAGAUGGAGAAACCAUCCUGGCCUGAGGAUGCCUUGAGCACGGGGGGGUCCUGGUGACCUGACAGCACUGGGCUCUGGGGGAUCGGCUUUUUCUGUGUCUUCAUAGGCAGAAUUAAGACCAAGGUUUGGAACAUACCACGCGGAUGCUGAUGUUGACUCUAUGUAGAGAACAUUUAAAAUGAGCCCCGUGGAGGUUGCUGUUUGGAGGGGCUCACUGGGGGUUUGUACCUCUGGAGGCAUUUAUUCUGAGGCUAGACUCCAUCCUGGCACUGGUGUGGAGGAGGUAUACUGCAUUAGACCAAGGGCAGAGUGGCCCUGGAUGAUCCUGAGUAUCCAGGUUUCUGUGCAUUUGAUCAGUUUGUAUUUAUUGGAUGGGGGGCACUAUUAUUGUAGCUGCUGAAUUCAUCAAUUCUUCAAGAAGCUGGAUUUUACCACUUCUCCAUCUAGUGGAUACCUCCUAAGCUAGUGUUUAUGUUGCUGUACCUGGGCCCUCCCAGAUAAAGAAGGGUUUUGCCUCUUACUUCCCUUUGUCUGGUUUCUGGUGUUUGAAUCGGGUGUUGAGAGACCUCACAGUUUCCUGCACAACCUCUGGAAGAAAAUAUGUUGAUUUGUCGAUAUGGUCACGUUAUUCCACAGUCUGCGUUUAUUGACGGAUGCGCUUUCUUGCUGUGUCCUCAUUCUGUCACAUAUGUUUUCACACUGAAGCUGCAGAGCAAGGGGCAUGGAAUCUGAGAGCUCUGAGGGGUCUCGGAUACUCUUCAGUCAUGUCCCUGCUUUACACGUGUGAGCUCUGUGGCCCUGGGGUCUACGGAACUGUAUCCCACACGUGCCAAGCUUUAUUUUUUCUGUUGGGGUAAUUGCUUUUCCAUAAUGAUCCCUAGAGGAGAAGCACCAUGUGUCUCUGCUCUCUUUUCCAGCCGAUUCCUUGGAAGAGCUGCCCGGACCUGCUGCCUUCAUCACUUCACCUCUUGUUCUCUCUCAAACUUACUCUUGGCUUUGAUUCCCUGACACUUGUUCUGCAAAAUUCAUGGAUGCCCAGUCCAAGAGUUGGUUCUCAGACCCCAUCAUUUCUAGGGGUUCUGUCUACAUGCCUCUUGGUUUUUCUUCCUUGGUUCUUCUCUUUUUGGUCCUCAGGAUUCAGGCUUCCAUUUCUCUGUGUAUCUUUGUUGCCUAGGUGACUCCUCGAGGACCACGUCUUUAAAGGGAAUUGAGUGAAUCCCAAUUUUGUAUCUCCAGACCUGACUUCAUCCCAUAUCAUAGCCUUGAUAUCUCCAUUUGGAUGUCUUAUAAGCACCUCCAAUUGAAUACGUAUAUCCCACCCAAACUCUUGAUUCUGUCACUCCACCUCACACCCCAAAUCCUCCCCGACGGCUCCCCCCUCCCCGAUUCUCCAUCUCUGUCAAUGGCACCAACGUCCAGCCUUCUUCACUACUCAGGCCAGAGAUGUGAAAGGGAGCUCCCUUCCUCUCCUGUGUCUUCAGUUAUGCUGAGGGUUGGCUGAUCUGGGCUGAGUUCAGCUGGGCUCAAUUUUAAGCUGCACAUUGGACCCAGCUGUUCACAUGUCUCUCAUCCUCCUUGGACUGGUAAGCCACCCAAAGCACGUUGUCAUGAUGAUAGCAAGACAAAGAGGCUAAGACUAACAGUACAAGCACCUUUCAAACCUCUGCUCAUGUCACAGCCACUAGACCCUGUUGGCCAAAGCCAGUCUCACAGCCAAGCCCAAAGUUAGGGACGGGGAAUUACACUCUCCCUAGCCAGAUGGUCUUCCAGGGGUGUGCAGGGCUGGGAGCGGAUAUUUGCUGAACAAAAAUCUAAGGUAUCACCUCUGGGAAGGGCUUACAAGAAAAAAGAGGAAAUUUCCUUAUAAGUAAAUGGAAUCUUGGUAAUAAAUAGGGUGUUUUUGUGAGGAACUGAAUAUGUGAUUUUUAAACUUGUGGUGCUUUUGAAAGGCUCUUUGAGAAUUAAGUAUUUUGUGUUCAGGUUCUAAUAAUUACUUAGGGAUGAUGGUGGUGGUAAUGGUGAUGUUGGUGAUGGUGACGUUGGUGUUGGGUGUGUGUGUGUGUGUGUGUGUGUGUGGGCAGGUGGAAGGAAGAUGAUACUAAUGAUUUGGGUGGGGCGAAGGAAAGAGCAGCAUUUUCCCAGGGUGCUGCAUUUUUGUUUGUCUUACUCUUCCUUAUCCCUCUCCUGAGUUCAUAACUUACCUUCUAUGAUAUGAUCAUUGUUGUCAUAGGUGAAUCUACAGAUAUUAUUUUAAAAUGCUAUGCUUUUUGCAGAAUUUGGUGAAGUUGGUGUUGCUUUAUUUUUGGCUUUUUAGGGCUGCACCUGUGCCAUAUGGAAGUUCCCAGGCUAGAGGUCCAAUCGGAGCUGCAGCUGCCAGCCUACGUCACAGCCACAGCAACACUGGGAUCUGAGCUGCGUCUGUGACCUACACCACAGCUCAUGGCAACGCCAGAUCCUUAGCCCACUAAGCGAGGCCAGGGAUCGAACCCGUGUCCUCAUGGAUCCUAGUCGGGUUUGUUAACCGCUGAGCUACAAAGGGAACUCCGUGGUGUUGCUGUCCUUUGCUGCCCUCUCUCCCUCCCCUUUAACUUUUCUCACUAGGAAUAAAAUCCUAAGAGGGCUCGAGGCAUGAGAAGGGCAGAGAAGAAUUUCCCCUGAAAGCCACUGGGGCUGGCUGGUGCUGCGUGAGUGUGGCAGGUGGCCUGAUCUGCAGUGUCUUGUGUGCAUUUGAUGCCAGCAGAUUUCUUAGGUUGUGGCAGCCGGCUUUUCUUCAAUUCAGCACAUUUCCUACCCAGCCCUAGGUCAGCUUUAUUUUCCUUUGUGUAGUUUUGUAAGCAACGUGAGGCUAAGUGACACAAUUAACCUGUGUAGCCAGCAUCUUUCUUCCAUCUGCUCCAAGCAAUCCUGACAAUUGCCAAACUCGUCUUUUCUUUAUUCUGUUAGGAAUAUUCUUUUCACCUACACACUCAGGCGUUUGAAUCAGCCAGAGCCUGGGCCGGGCCAGACACGUGUUUAUCACCCUCCACACACAAGGGGAGGUUUAUGCCAAUGUUUGCUUGGCACUGAGAAUGGGAUUCAGGCCUUUUUGAUCUUUCUCAUCACAGUGGCAUGAAAUCAGUGAGUCGCUAAGGCGUGCUUGGCAGCCUGAUAGAUGGAGACCCAGGUUCUAGACUCACCACUGACGCCUUUCCAUCACCUAAAGAACAUUCUUCAUCGUUGCUGGGCCUCCCUUUUCUGGUGCACUGAAUGUGGAUGGGGCUAGUCUUAGGAUCGAAUUAAAUAAUCUUUGUAGAAAGAUUCCGGGAAGUCUAAAGUUCAUAAUACGUGUAAGACAUGUCGUUUCGAAUAAAAGUGCAGUUUGAAAAUUUAUAGACAGUUUGUUCCAAAAGUACUUCAAGCACAUAGCAAUGAUUCAUAUCUCUUGGAACUGCGAAGGCUGCAUGAACAGUUUGGUUAAUGGGAGAAAAUAUACUUCCAGGAUUCUGGCUUCGGGGGUGGGAGAGCACAUGGCCAGAGACGUAUUAGUCAUCACUUUGUCUUGCAGGACAGAGUCCAGGAGUGGGGGGCCAUCUGUCAUGGACGGAAUAUUUGUGUUCCCCACCUCCCCAAAUUCAUAUGUGGCAGCCCUAACCCCAAUGAAAUGGCAUUCGGAGGUGGGGACUUUGGGGAAUUAAAUAGGAUUCGAUGAGAUCGGGAGGGUUGAGUCCCUAGGAUGGAGUUAACGUCCUUGCAGCAGGGAAAGAUAACAGUUUGCUCUCUCUCCAUGUAAGGACACAGCAAGAAGGCAGCUGUCUUGAGACAGCUCACCAAAAACUUCACCCAAGACCCUCACCGAAAAACCCCAGUCUUGGCCUCCCCGGGUACCCUAAUCUUGGACUCCCCAACCUCCAGAGCGGUGAGAAAUUAACAUCUGUUGUUGAAGCCACUUGGUCUUUAGUAUUUGGUUAGAGUAGCCUGAGCAGACUAAGACAUCAGGGAAAAUUUGAAAACAUGGUCAUGUCGAGAGAUGGCUGAAGGAAGGGAUGUGUUCAGUUAGGAAAAAAGAAAAAA
rnacentral:lncRNA from 1 species